UGGGGAAUUUUGGACAAUGGGCGCAAGCCUGAUCCAGCCAUGCCGCGUGCGGGAAGAAGGCCUUCGGGUUGUAAACCGCUUUUGUCAGGGAAGAAAUCUUCUGAGUUAAUACCUCGGGAGGAUGACGGUACCUGAAGAAUAAGCACCGGCUAACUACGUGCCAGCAGCCGCGGUAAUACGUAGGGUGCAAGCGUUAAUCGGAAUUACUGGGCGUAAAGCGUGCGCAGGCGGUUUUGUAAGACAGAGGUGAAAUCCCCGGGCUCAACCUGGGAACUGCCUUUGUGACUGCAAGGCUUGAGUGCGGCAGAGGGGGGAUGGAAUUCCGCGUGUAGCAGUGAAAUGCGUAGAUAUGCGGAGGAAACACCGAUGGCGAAGGCAAUCCCCUGGGCCUGCACUGACGCUCAUGCACGAAAGCGUGGGGAGCAAACAGGAUUAGAUGCCCUGGUAGUCCACGCCCUAAACGAUGUCAACUGGUUGUUGGGAAGGUUCCUUCUCAGUAACGUAGCUAACGCGUGAAGUUGACCGCCUGGGGAGUACGGCCGCAAGGUUGAAACUCAAAUGAAUUGACGGGGU
rnacentral:rRNA from 1 species